GCCCGGGUGGCUCAGUGGGUUAAGCGUCCGACUUGGGCUCAGGUCCUGACCUCACGGAUCGUGGGUUCGAGCCCCGCGUCGGGCU
rnacentral:tRNA from 1 species